UACAACACUUUUACAUCACUUUCGCUUCCCACGGCAAACCCCCAGGCGGGCAAGUCUACCGGCGGGCAACCUGACGUUUCUCACGUCAGCUACAAAACGUCACACCAAUGUCAUUGGAGCAUAUCGUUAUGCUCAAUGUUUAUUUAGUGAUGAAAGUGCUAAAAGUUCAGUUCAAUAAUCGUUGAAAUCGGCCAAAUUUUCAACGAAAAUCGAGGACAUAAACAGUGGUGGUAUUUUGCUGCCAAGAUGCAAUCUUUCUGCGAAAGAUUGACCUGUAGUAACCACCAAAUCUUCCCGGGAUUAACCAUGAAGCCAUCUUGCCUUGCAAGAUACACUACAGAUAUGGUCAAUAUCACCAAGUGGGCCAUCCCCUCAUCGCAUCUCCACCGUCGGCGCUCAGAUAAAGGGCAAAACUAUAAACCCCUUCAUCGUACCCGAAUCGGUCAGUGCGACUAUGGAUGCCCAUGAUGGAAUGGAAAAGUACCUAUGACUCAUCCAAACCAACCAGAACGCAAGCGGGUUACAGGACCAGAUAUGUGGACUCCAGAGUAAUAAUGGAAGUGUUCUCCGUAACCUCUGGCUAAAGCCAACAUCUCGAAUCUGCCCUUUAUUUCUGUCGGUCUGGCCAGAUCAGCCAUCAAAGUAUCUGUAAAGAAAUUAAAUAAACUUAAUUUUGAACUAUCCGAACCGACUUUGGUCCGAACUUCACUCUCCGCCUCAUCAUUACUGAGAAAUUCCUACUUUUUUCCGUUAACAUUCGUAUACGGGAGUUGAACGUAUUGCGCCCGUUGGGAUUGCUAUCAGUACCCAACGGGAAUCUGUCCUGACGUAGGACAUCCUACUAAGUAUUGCGUUCUACUUAUUUAUAUUGGAUUAGCAGACUGGUAUGGAUCGUUGGUGGAUACAUCCUCGCCCAGCCAAUCUGCGUAUACUGUGUUUUUAUGGGUUCGUUUUUUUCUGCCGUGUGCUCUAUUGUGUAUGUAUCAAAAGUGAAAUAGAGCAAAGCGUAGAUGGUAAAAUGAUGAAUGAUUCAACUAUUGCAAAUAGGUAUGUAAAAUUUGUGCUAUUGUUAAACUGAUGUGGAUUCGGUACCGUAUGUAAAGCAAAAUUAUGAUUUUUCAUGGAAUGAAUCAAAAUUAACGGUUCACGACACACAAGGCAAACCAAAAAUCACGAAUUUCUUCGCACAGUAAACGAUUUUGGAAAGCGUAUAGUGUCCUCUUUUGCGUUCAGGACCUCUUAUGGCGUUUUAUCUUCACUUUCACUUUCUUUUCUUGUGGAGCAGUGGGACAGUGGAAGGGCACAAACAUUCGUGCUUUACACGAAUUCCUGCCACCUCCCGUCGGAAAAAUCCUUAGAUUUUUGAACUCUACCGAACCCUUGAUUACCUUUCGCGGACUUUUAGUUGGGCGCCAAUUGUUACCUAACGAUUAACAAGGCUCAUACGGCAGAACCGACUCUAUAGCUGGUAUCGCAGGGUCGGCUAGCUACCGGGUAAUCAAGGGCUACGCGGAUCAAGAACAAAAACCUAGAACAUUCACUUUUCUUAUACACUUUUUAUUUGUGAGUAUUUGUAGUGUGGUUGUGGGGUGUAAUUUACAAUAUUACUGUGGAGUGUACACUAUUAUUUUCACCAAACGUACCGUACUGUUGCUGCUACGGCUGGCGGGCGUUGCGACGCUAACGAUGCCGACGGGCGAGAUCCCCUCGCGGACGUCGGCGAAACUGGCCGGAUGAAGGCCACGGUACGAUGGUGAUCUAGACUGCAGUUGGACGGACCAGCGGGCGUUGCUGGCUUGGAUGCAGGCAGGCGUCUUCCCUCCUUGGCGAGCAUCGGCGUGACCGCGGCUAACCGAAAUGGCCAACACCGAGAGGGGACCCUCCUUUGCGGUUAGGGCCUUUGCCCGAGGGUAUGAAGCGGAGGCGCGCAGCGCCGGAUGACGAACGACGGUCCUUUACGAUUAGGCGCGGAAUCCUCCCGGAUUCGCGUGCCGAACCGUGUGCUGAACGAUUUGAUGCGGCGCUAAGAGGCACUAAGAGGUCCUGGUGAAGAAUAUGGCAACGCAAAGUUGCUAAAUAAUCUAAUCGAUUCUUCAGAGUAAAACUUUAAAUACCUGAACGAAUCGAUACACUUUAAACAAACUUCCCGCCCCAGAGGGGGGGGGGGGUAAACUACACUUCACCAGUUAAUUUAAACUUCAGCACACGGACGCCAGAUAUUAAAAGAGACCAGAGUUAUGCACUACAGGUCCUUUUAUACAAUUUUGAAAUGCAUUUCCCUCCAAUUUUUAUCCGAAAACCAUUUGUAAUUUUCAGUAUCUCGCGUCUCCAUAAGGGGUGGUUCACCUACCCACUGAGACGAUCUGACAGCUUACAGCGGUACGCACCCUUUCACUACCCUGCUUAAUGUUGUUGUGUAUUUAGUACAAAAAACGUGAAGGUUCUAAAGACAAACAAAUAAUAUUUACACCAGAAACCUAAGCAAUGGAACCAAUGGUUACAACAAGUAAACUUCCACGGAACCUUAUGCCUCCCGGGAUUACCUUACGGCAUUAAUUCGGGAAGAGAGUUUUUUAUGUGCACAACACACGAUCUCCAAUCCAA